rnacentral:rRNA from 1 species
GACGAACGCUGGCGGCGUGCUUAACACAUGCAAGUCGAGCGGUAAGGCCCUUUCGGGGGUACACGAGCGGCGAACGGGUGAGUAACACGUGGGUGACCUGCCCUCAGCUCUGGGAUAAGCCCGGGAAGCUGGGUCUAAUACCGGAUAUGACUUCAUGACGCAUGUUGUGGAGUGGAAAGCCUUGUGCGGCUGAGGAUGGGCCCGCGGCCUAUCAGCUUGUUGGUGGGGNGAUGGCCUACCAAGGCGACGACGGGUAGCCGGCCUGAGAGGGCGACCGGCCACACUGGGACUGAGAUACGGCCCAGACUCCUGCGGGAGGCAGCAGUGGGGAAUCUUGCGCAAUGGGCGAAAGCCUGACGCAGCGACGCCGCGUGAGGGAUGACGG